GAUGAAGAACGCAGCGAAAUGCGAUAAGUAGUGUGAAUUGCAGAAUUCAGUGAAUCAUCGAAUCUUUGAACGCACAUUGCGCCCCUUGGUAUUCCAUGGGGCAUGCCUGUUCGAGCGUCAUUUGUACCUUCAAGCUCUGCUUGGUGUUGGGUGGUUGUCUCGCCUCUGCGUGUAGACUCGCCUCAAAACAAUUGGCAGCCGGCGUAUUGAUUUCGGAGCGCAGUACAUCUCGCGCUUUGCACUCAUAACGACGACGUCCAAAAGUACAUUUUUACACUCUUGACCUCGGAUCAGGUAGGGAUACCCGCUGAACUUAAGCAUAUCAAUAAGCGGAGGA
rnacentral:misc_RNA from 1 species